GCAGGGAGGAAGGCGGACCCGCGUGGCGCUGGCAGCAUGGGGGACGCGCUGGACGAGCCGUGGUGGGAGGCGGCGGCGGGGGAAGGCAGCGGCUCAGGUAUCUUUCCACGGGAUGCAGGAAGAUUCUGAAGUUCUAAAAUCGUAUGGAUGGCCACUACUAUUACUACUACCACUGCUGAAUGGCACAACUCAUCAGUGCAGGGCUGCCUUCUCUCUGUCAUAGCUGUGCUGUUACACAGCAGUGGGUACUGGUUAUAACGAGGCUUUGGAAAUCACUGCCAUAUUUGGUACAGGCCAAGAAAGUGCUAGUAUUCUCUAAACUGAGACUUUUAACCUGGGUAGAUAUAAGCUUCUUUGGGAUAUAGAACCGUUGAAAUAAUUUCUUCCUUUUGUCCAGUGUCACCAGAGUAAUUUUUUCAGGAUUUGAUGUAGGCUGUGUUGGUUUGUUCUACUAGGAUGAGUUUCUGCUGUGGGUCUUGGGGCUCAGUUUUCUUGUUUACUUCCCCAGCCUGCCCACAUUGCUGUUGUUUUUGUAAAUUCUUUUCUAUGUUGUAAAUCUGCCCAAAGAUGAUUAAGAAUUGCAUACCGUUGGUAAACUAACAGACAGCAAAUCUAAUGCUUUUAGGACUUUAUUGCAAAUGAUAAUGUAAAGUUUGUAAAUAUUAUAAGAAAAGGAUGUAACAUGAUUAGAGUAGAGAUCUUCUGUAAAUAUUUGUUUUUUAAAGCCUAGAAUGUCAUCUGAUGCUAUUUUAUACUGUUUCCUUUUAAGGAAACUGUUUGUAUGUUUUUAAAUGAUGUAAAAUCGUAUGAUAUUAGCUAAUUAGUGUGGAGAAAUGAAAGCGUAUUGAAAAAACUUCCAUGUAGACUAAUGAAUCAAAUAUUUCCACAAUGUAAAUGAAUGACAGUAAUUGAAAUAUGGACACCUUUUGAGAUUAUGGUCACCAUGUCAGGGUUUUUACAUUUAUGGUUAAAUAUGUUUUUUUCUCCUUUCAUGGAAUAAAUGUUAUAAAUUCUUUUCCCCUUGUUCCCUUCCCCUCCGAGGAAGCCAAAACAUCCUAGUUUUAUUUUUACACGUUUGUUUAUUUAUGCUUAGGGUACCACCAAGCACAGUCAUUGCCAUUUCAUCAUGACUUUGUAGUAGGGAAUAAAAAGUUUGUCUAAACUAA